rnacentral:sRNA from 1 species
GUCGUGAGAUGUUGGGUUAAGUCCCGCAACGAGCGCAACCCCCGUCCUUAGUUGCUACCAUUUAGUUGAGCACUCUAAGGAGACUGCCGGUGAUAAGCCGCGAGGAAGGUGGGGAUGACGUCAAGUCCUCAUGGCCCUUACGGGCUGGGCUACACACGUGCUACAAUGGCGGUGACAAUGGGACGCUAAGGGGCAACCCUUCGCAAAUCUCAAAAAGCCGUCUCAGUUCGGAUUGGGCUCUGCAACUCGAGCCCAUGAAGUUGGAAUCGCUAGUAAUCGUGGAUCAGCACGCCACGGUGAAUACGUUCCCGGGCCUUGUACACACCGCCCGUCACACCAUGGGAGUUGGUUCUACCUGAAGACGGUGCGCUAACCCGCAAGGGAGGCAGCCGGCCACGGUAGGGUCAGCGACUGGGAUGAAGUCGUAACAAGGUAGCCGUAGGGGAACCUGCGGCUGGAUCACCUCCUUUCUAAGGAUGAUCCUUCAGGCCAGCUCACGCUGUUCUAUCGGAUCGUUUUAGAAACAUCAGGGGCCAACGAUCGCCAGAUCGUUGAGUUCCAUUGGCGGGAUUUCGCCGUCUUCGUUUCUCUUUCUUCGCGGACGAACACGCGCCAGGGGCUGCGCUUGUGCUGACCAUCCGGCGUGAAGCCGGCUGCGCGAGCAAGUUUCCGUUUCCUUUUCAGGAAAAGCGUUAGGGGCUUGUAGCUCAGUUGGUUAGAGCGCGCGCUUGAUAAGCGUGAGGUCGGAAGUUCAAGUCUUCCCAGGCCCACACGCUUCGCCGUGGCUACGCGUGGCGCAGCCACGCAAGACAAUGCAGUGAAGCGUGCCCGGCAUAGCCCGAAGGGCGACGACGGGCGCCGUCUCAGGAAAUGGGGCCAUAGCUCAGCUGGGAGAGCGCGUGCUUUGCAAGCAUGAGGUCGUCGGUUCGAUCCCGUCUGGCUCCACCACGCUUCGCCUUCGGCUAUGCGUGGCGCAGCCGAGCAUGGCCGAUCGAAGCGUGCCCGGCGAAGCUCGAAAGAGCGACGACGGGCCGACUAUCGAGCCAAAACAAUCGUCCGCGAAACAUCACUUCGCAUGCGCUGUCCUAACGGAUGCGCCUGCGGGAUUUCUGACAUCGUAAAGAGGAGAUUGAUCCGAGUUUGGGAUCUGCGAAGCGAUUCGCAUAUCGCAAUCACUAUCUCCGGGACGUUUCGGCGCUCGUUCAUCGCGAGAUGAGCGAGUUGUAAAUGUCCUUGUUGGUGAAGCUUGACCGCCUCAUCAUCGGGUUGAUCUUACGAAGCAAGCUGGUCUUUCUAAUCAGUGUCCAGCCGCAUGCAGCAUUCAUCGAGGGUGCGCGCCUUUGAAGUUUCGACUUCAAGGCAAGUGUGCGGACUACAUUCUGCCGAGUGUGUGGACAUUGAUAAUGAGAGCAAUCAAGUGCCUUAAGGGUGUUCGGUGGAUGCCUAGGCGCGAGAAGGCGAUGAAGGACGUGGCUAGCUGCGAUAAGCUUCGGGGAGCCGCUAAGCAGGCUUUGAUCCGGAGAUUU